GAAAAGUAGCUUAAAAAAAGCAUUCGGCUAACGACCGGAGGAUAUUGCCCCGAUCUUUUUGA
rnacentral:tRNA from 1 species